ACGCUGGCGGCACGCCUAACACAUGCAAGUCGAACGAAGUAGCAAUACUUAGUGGCAGACGGGUGAGUAACAUGUAGGUAUCUGCCCUUUGGCCUGGAAUAACACGAGGAAACUUGUGCUAAUACCGGAUAAGUCUUUACGGAGAAAGCUUUAUGCACCAUUGGAUGAGCCUGCACUUGAUUAGUUUGUUGGUGGGGUAAUGGCCUACCAAGACUGUGAUCAAUAGCUGAUUUGAGAGGAUGAUCAGCCACAUUGGGACUGAGACACGGCCCAAACUCCUACGGGAGGCAGCAGUGGGGAAUCUUGCACAAUGGAGGAAACUCUGAUGCAGCGAUGCCGCGUGAGUGAAGAAGGCCUUUGGGUUGUAAAGCUCUUUCGUCGGGGAAGAAAAUGACUGUACCCGAAUAAGAAGGUCCGGCUAACUUCGUGCCAGCAGCCGCGGUAAUACGAAGGGACCUAGCGUAGUUCGGAAUUACUGGGCUUAAAGAGUUCGUAGGUGGUUGAAAAAGUUAGUGGUGAAAUCCCAGAGCUUAACUCUGGAACUGCCAUUAAAACUUUUCAGCUAGAGUAUGAUAGAGGAAAGCAGAAUUUCUAGGUGUAGAGGUGAAAUUCGUAGAUAUUAGAAAGAAUACCAAUUGCGAAGGCAGCUUUCUGGAUCAUUACUGACACUGAGGAACGAAAGCAUGGGUAGCGAAGAGGAUUAGAUACCCUCGUAGUCCAUGCCGUAAACGAUGUGUGUUAGACGUUGGAAAUUUAUUUUCAGUGUCGCAGCGAAAGCGAUAAACACACCGCCUGGGGAGUACGACCGCAAGGUUAAAACUCAAAUGAAUUGACGGGGACCCGCACAAGUAGUGGAGCAUGUGGUUUAAUUCGAAGAUACGCGCAGAACCUUACCAACACUUGACAUGUUCGUCGCGACUCUAAGAGAUUAGAGUUUUCGGUUCGGCCGGACGAAACACAGGUGCUGCAUGGCUGUCGUCAGCUCGUGUCGUGAGAUGUUGGGUUAAGUCCCGCAACGAGCGCAACCCUCACUUUUAGUUGCCAUCAUUAAGUUGGGCACUCUGAAAGAACUGCCAGUGAUAAGCUGGAGGAAGGUGGGGAUGACGUCAAGUCCUCAUGGCCCUUACGUGUUGGGCUACACACGUGCUACAAUGGUAUCUACAACAGGAAGCAAGACUGCGAAGUUAAGCAAAUCCCUAAAAGAUACCUCAGUUCGGAUUGCACUCUGCAACUCGAGUGCAUGAAGCUGGAAUUACUAGUAAUCGUGGAUCAGCGUGCCACGGUGAAUGCGUUCCCGGGUCUUGUACACAUCGCC
rnacentral:rRNA from 1 species